AGGAGCUUGCUCCUUGGGUGACGAGUGGCGGACGGGUGAGUAAUGUCUGGGAAACUGCCUGAUGGAGGGGGAUAACUACUGGAAACGGUAGCUAAUACCGCAUAACGUCGCAAGACCAAAGAGGGGGACCUUCGGGCCUCUUGCCAUCAGAUGUGCCCAGAUGGGAUUAGCUAGUAGGUGGGGUAACGGCUCACCUAGGCGACGAUCCCUAGCUGGUCUGAGAGGAUGACCAGCCACACUGGAACUGAGACACGGUCCAGACUCC
rnacentral:rRNA from 1 species